UGAGCGAGGCUGACUCACGUUUCCGUUAUCUGUGGAGCAAAGGUCACCGAUAAGAAUAAGCAGCGAGGCGGUGCGGCCACAUCGAGCUCACUUUCAACCCGCAGCGCCAACUGCCGCAAGGACAACGCCAACGCUCCAACAACAACAAAAACCUACGCCUCAACCGCUACGAUGGCUGCCUCGAACAGCAACGCCCGCCUUGUCGCUCUGGUCAACGCCGGCGACGCAGAAGGACUACGGGCCGCCCUCGCCGCCCUCUCCGCUGACGCCCGCGCCGAGUUCUUCAAAGCCCGGACCCCCCUGCACGUGGCUGCCUUUGGGGGCCAUAAGGCAUGCGGACGUCCUCGUGGCGGGGGGCGCCGACCCCAACGCCAGAGCGGAAGGUAAG